rnacentral:lncRNA from 1 species
GUAGAGGCCAGCUGCCAUGCCAUAAAGACAUUCAGGCAGCUGAUGGAGAUACUGACCUGAUGUUGAGCUAUGGCUUCCUACCAUUAACAAGCAUUAACCUGACAAGGAUGUGAGUGAGACACCUUGGAAGUCCAUCCUCCAGUCCCAGUCAAGUCUUUAGAUGACUACAGCCUCAGCUGAGAAUCUGAGCAUAAUAUCAUGAGAGUCUUGAAGCUAGAAAUACUCAGCCAAGCUGCUUCUGAAUUCCUAACUCACAAAAACUAGUGCGACUAAAUGCAUGUAUUGAAACCUGGAUCUAAUGCGAUCGUGAAGAUAUCGUUUUACUAAUCUUUUAUUUAUGUCCCACACUUGGUAGGGCACACUUCAGAGAAAGCAAUAAACAUUAUCUGUUAAUUAUUGAGUUGCCAGAAUUUUUCAUUUUUAGGAAUAUAAGAUUUGUAGACAUCCUAAAGAAAAAUAAAUUAAUAAAACUUUUCCAAAUUAGCCAGAUGACACAUUAAAACUGAGAAUAAAAAACAAAG